rnacentral:lncRNA from 1 species
UUCUUCUCCAAGGGGAGGUGUCAGGGGCCCUUUACACACGCACUCUCUCACACACACACACACACAUCCCUACACACACACCACCCUCACCACCAGCCAAGCUGGCUCUGCUAGACACUGGCAAGCUUGGGCUUUUAUUGAAGACAAGAGGUAACACAUAUCAUAGACUGAAUAUUUAUGUCCCCUCCAAACUCAUAUGGAGCAGCCCUAAUCUCCACAUCAUGGUUAGAGAUGCAGCCUUUAGGAGGUGAUCAGCGCUAGAUGAGGUCACGGGAGUGGAGACUCGUGGUUAGAGCCCCUAAGACAAGACCCCCCGACAUCUCUCCUUCUUGUUUGGGGACACAGUGAGGAGGUGACUGACUGUCUACAACCCCGGAGAAAGAGGGCCCUCACCAGAAUGCAUCAGUGCUGCCACUCUGACCUCAGACUUCAGCCUCCAGAACAUUAAGCAAUCAAUGUGUGUUGUUUAAACCCAGGGCCCAUCGUACUUUGUUAAGCAGCCCAAGCUCAAAAAAUACACUUUCUGUAAAAGGCCUGACAGUAAGCGUUUUAGGAUAGUCCCUGCCGUACCUCCUCAGCUGGCCAGUGCCACCGAGCAGCCAUGGACAGUGUCGUGACCCCGGGUGCCCACCGCACCGCUGUUGUGCUGAAACACGAAGCUAACCACGACUGCAAAACUCAGCUCCAGUAAAAAAAAUUACAGGAACCCAGUUUAAAAUAAAGGAAGAUGAUUUAUUCAAAGAAGGCAGAGGAGGGAAAGAGAAGACAGACAGCUACUCCAGAAGAGCAUGGAGCAUCGGAAAGUGAGUACCUGGUCACAGUGGCGUUACAUGGGAUGGUGUGAGUGAAACCGAAUCUGACCUGCAGUCAAUGCUGCCAGCUUCUAGGCGUGUUUAAGGAGGGGAAAGAAGGAUGUGGAGACCCGAGGUGGACUUGUCUGCACAAGACUAAGGAUGGACAGCAAAUGAGAGAGAAGAGGAACAAAAGGAAGAGGCGGAAGAUGAAGGAGAGAAGGGAAGGGAGAGAGGAGAUGGUAAGAGAGGCCAGGAAGGGAAAGGAGAGAAGAUUUCACACCCUGGAUCAGGAAGACCCUGGAUGGGGUGUGGAGAGUUCUCUAAGCAAAACCAAACCCCAGGAUCCUUGAGCAGCUCUUCAGUGUGACUCCCACAGGUUCCGGGCAGAGUAUUGGUUCACUCUUCCCUGAAACAAUGGAGUUGCCCAACUUUGACCUGUCAGAGUCUGGCGACCUAUGGAGGAUGGUGAGUGUCAUUUGGGUAGAGGGCUUGAGGAAGGAGG